CAUUAGAUGGCUGAAGCGUAAGUACUGGUCUCUUAAACCAUAAAAUAGUAAACUAACAAAUACUUCUGAUG
rnacentral:tRNA from 1 species